rnacentral:rRNA from 1 species
CCUACGGGUGGCAGCAGUGAGGAAUAUUGGUCAAUGGGCGCGAGCCUGAACCAGCCAAGUCGCGUGAGGGAUGACGGUCCUACGGAUUGUAAACCUCUUUUGCCGGGGAGCAAGCGUGCGUUCGUGAACGCGCGUCGAGAGUACCCGGAGAAAAAGCAUCGGCUAACUCCGUGCCAGCAGCCGCGGUAAUACGGAGGGGGCAAGCGUUAUCCGGAUUUACUGGGUGUAAAGGGGGCGCAGACGGCAAUGCAAGCCAGGAGUGAAAGCCCGGGGCCCAACCCCGGGACUGCUCUUGGAACUGCAUGGCUGGAGUACAGGAGGGGCAGGCGGAAUUCCUAGUGUAGCGGUGAAAUGCGUAGAUAUUAGGAGGAACACCGGUGGCGAAGGCGGCCUGCUGGACUGUGACUGACGUUGAGGCCCGAAGGCGUGGGGAGCAAACAGGAUUAGAUACCCCUGUAGUC